CCAACGGGGCAUGGCUUAGUACGGCGAGUGAAGCGGCAAAAGCUCAAAUUUGAAAUCUGGUACCUUCGGUGCCCGAGUUGUAAUUUGGAGAGGGCAACUUUGGGGCCGUUCCUUGUCUAUGUUCCUUGGAACAGGACGUCAUAGAGGGUGAGAAUCCCGUGUGGCGAGGAGUGCGGUUCUUUGUAAAGUGCCUUCGAAGAGUCGAGUUGUUUGGGAAUGCAGCUCUAAGUGGGUGGUAAAUUCCAUCUAAAGCUAAAUAUUGGCGAGAGACCGAUAGCGAACAAGUACAGUGAUGGAAAGAUGAAAAGAACUUUGAAAAGAGAGUGAAAAAGUACGUGAAAUUGUUGAAAGGGAAGGGCAUUUGAUCAGACAUGGUGUUUUGUGCCCUCUGCUCCUUGUGGGUAGGGGAAUCUCGCAUUUCACUGGGCCAGCAUCAGUUUUGGUGGCAGGAUAAAUCCAUAGGAAUGUAGCUUGCCUCGGUAAGUAUUAUAGCCUGUGGGAAUACUGCCAGCUGGGACUGAGGACUGCGACGUAAGUCAAGGAUGCUGGCAUAAUGGUUAUAUGCCGCCCGUCUUGAAACACGGACCCA
rnacentral:rRNA from 1 species